rnacentral:rRNA from 1 species
UACGUAGGCAGCGAGCGUUGUUCGGAGUUACUGGGCGUAAAGAGUGCGUAGGCGGUUUUCUAAGUUUGGUGUGAAAUCUCCCGGCUUAACUGGGAGGGUGCGCCGAAGACUGGAAGGCUUGAGUAUGGGAGAGGUAAGCGGAAUUCCUGGUGUAGCGGUGAAAUGCGUAGAUAUCAGGAGGAACACCGGUGGCGAAGGCGGCAUCCUGGACCAACACUGACGCUGAUGAGCGAAAGCCAGGGGAGCAAACGGG